AGGAUUGGGAGUUUGUUCAUCACAGAUCCUGGACUCUAACCUGGACUGAGACACCAAGGGUUCAAUGCCUGCCUAGAAGAAGCUGUCUCCUACACACAGCGACCAGCGGCCAGAAUUCAAGAGGACCAUCGGAGGUCAUCUCAGCCUUUUAUCCAAUGUGAGAAUGAUCUGUCACCCACUGAUCACAGGGUUUAUCUGAAUGAUCUGGCUGGCUAAAUGAGCGACUAUUUUUUUUUUUUAAUGCACAUCCCUCCUACAUCCAUUCUUCCACAGAAAAAGCCAAUUUUUCCAUCAAGUUAUGUCAAAUCCUGCUCCAAGAAAAUGGAAUAAUUCUGUACCAUGAGAACAUCUCUCUGGAUUUUUUCCUUAUGUGAUCACCACCACCUGAAGAUAGUAUUGUCAAAAAAGAUACAGGAUCCCCAGAGCUCCUGGACGAAAAAUCUGCUCUAUUACGUCUGAGUGUUCCACAAGUUAAUGUUUAGAGCAACUCAUCUUGGAUCAUGAAUCGUGGGACGAAUCACCUGCUUUGAAAUGGCUCGAGACCCUUCCUUCCUUCCUGCAGAGAAUCUUCUGAGUUUGACCGCCUUUCACGCAUCAGCAGGCUGGUGCCUCCAUCCAGAAGAAAGUAUCCAAGACAUCCUGAGUAAAGAGCAGGAAGAGUUAAUGAACAUUUGUGGCCUUCAAGAGAAGCUCAGGAACCCCACGGUCACCCUUUGGCACUGCUGCUUUUCUCAGGGAACAAGAAAGAUGGCUGAAGACGGUCCCCUGCACCAAGCUUUGCAGUCCUGUUCCUGGGUGAUGGCCGAGAGGUAGCCUUCUGGCUGAAAUUAAUUUCAUUACAAAGUGAUUCUAUGCUUAUGUGGUUGUUCCACUGUUAGGCCAACUCUAAGAGCCAAGCCAGUCACCUGAAGGGGUGUGUCCAUUCAUUUCAGUGUUGCCGGAUAGCUGGGCAAGGGGGGCUGCAUAGGAGCACCCUGGGUGGGUGGGGGGCUGAGGUUCGUGAUCUCUGCAUGGGUUCCACCAGCACCAGGGGACUAGAGGAAUACGUAAGAGGACCUACUGUGACCCUCCCCACGUGGCGACGAGUCAGGAACUGCGGGGAGCGUGGACUCCGGAAGGUGUCUCUUAAAUAGUCCAGGCACCUUGAGCGUAUCAGACAAGAUGUGGACUGAGAGACGUGGCCAGGGGGCCUGGGAAUGAGUUAGCUGUGAAGGUUCAGAAAAAUAAGCUUUGUAAUCUGGAUGCUCGCUAAACUUCCUGUGUUUUCUUUGUUUGUUUUCCUUUGGUUUUCUUUUCUCAGUCUCUCUCUCUGUGUCUCUCUCUCUGUGUUUCUGUCUCUCUUUCCCUCCCUCAUUGAAAUUUCAGUCUCUCAGCUAGACGAAGGGAAACCAAGGGAACAGAUGGUUGGCCACACUUGGGCUGGAGCUCUGGAGGAUGAACAGUGACUCGGCGCUGGGCUGACAUGGUCCUGGCUGUGAGAGUCAGAGGAAGAGGAGGGCAAGGGAAGGAGGAGACUCGGGAGAGGCGUGGGCCCUGCUUGGUCAGCACCCUUGCCCCACCUGGAGAGUUGGCUUCCAGUUUUAAAGCCUUGGGGACUCUGUGUUUUGUUUAAAUAAGGGAAGCUGUUUCCCUUACAUCCUUUCAAAAAUAAAUAAAUAAAGAGGCUGUCAUAUCAUCUUACAGAUGCUGCUACCAAAAACAAAGGUUCAGAACUCUGACCAUUUUUUACAAAAUCAAAAGAUCAGAAGGUGGGAGUGGGAGGCAAGGAAGGAUUUUAGAUUCCGAGAAAGCCAGUUACCUGGUUUAUUUAUGUCUUGUGUUACUCUCACUGCCACCACCAGUAACAACAGGAGCAUGCCACCGACACCACCACCAUCACCAUCG